GACGAACGCUGGCGGCACGCUUAACACAUGCAAGUCGAACGAGAGAAGAGAAGCUUGCUUUUCUGAUCUAGUGGCGGACGGGUGAGUAACACGUGAGCAAUCUGCCUUUCAGAGGGGGAUACCGAUUGGAAACGAUCGUUAAUACCGCAUAACAUAAUUGAACCGCAUGAUUUGAUUAUCAAAGAUUUAUCGCUGAAAGAUGAGCUCGCGUCUGAUUAGCUAGUUGGUAAGGUAACGGCUUACCAAGGCGACGAUCAGUAGCCGGACUGAGAGGUUGAUCGGCCACAUUGGGACUGAGACACGGCCCAGACUCCUACGGGAGGCAGCAGUGGGGAAUAUUGCACAAUGGAGGAAACUCUGAUGCAGCGAUGCCGCGUGAGGGAAGAAGGUUUUAGGAUUGUAAACCUCUGUCUUUGGGGACGAAAAAUGACGGUACCCAAGGAGGAAGCUCCGGCUAACUACGUGCCAGCAGCCGCGGUAAUACGUAGGGAGCGAGCGUUGUCCGGAAUUACUGGGUGUAAAGGGAGCGUAGGCGGGAUCGCAAGUCAGAUGUGAAAACUAUGGGCUUAACCCAUAAACUGCAUUUGAAACUGUGGUUCUUGAGUGAAGUAGAGGUAAGCGGAAUUCCUAGUGUAGCGGUGAAAUGCGUAGAUAUUAGGAGGAACAUCAGUGGCGAAGGCGGCUUACUGGGCUUUAACUGACGCUGAGGCUCGAAAGCGUGGGGAGCAAACAGGAUUAGAUACCCUGGUAGUCCACGCCGUAAACGAUGAUUACUAGGUGUGGGGGGACUGACCCCUUCCGUGCCGCAGCAAACGCAAUAAGUAAUCCACCUGGGGAGUACGACCGCAAGGUUGAAACUCAAAGGAAUUGACGGGGGCCCGCACAAGCAGUGGAGUAUGUGGAUUAAUUCGAAGCAACGCGAAGAACCUUACCAGGUCUUGACAUCGUAUGCAUAGCUCAGAGAUGAGUGAAAUCUCUUCGGAGACAUAUAGACAGGUGGUGCAUGGUUGUCGUCAGCUCGUGUCGUGAGAUGUUGGGUUAAGUCCCGCAACGAGCGCAACCCUUACUGUUAGUUGCUACGCAAGAGCACUCUAGCAGGACUGCCGUUGACAAAACGGAGGAAGGUGGGGAUGACGUCAAAUCAUCGUGCCCCUUAUGACCUGGGCCUCACACGUACUACAAUGGCUGUCAACAGAGGGAAGCAAAGCCGCGAGGUGGAGCAAACCCCUAAAAGCAGUCUUAGUUCGGAUUGUAGGCUGCAACCCGCCUACAUGAAGUCGGAAUUGCUAGUAAUCGCAGAUCAGCAUGCUGCGGUGAAUACAUUCCCGGGCCU
rnacentral:rRNA from 1 species